AACGCACAUUGCGCCCCUUGGUAUUCCGGGGGGCAUGCCUGUUCGAGCGUCAUUAUAACCCUCAAGCCUAGCUUGGUGUUGGAGCAUGCUACCUAGCAGCUCUUAAAAUCAGUGGCAGUGCCCUUCGGCUCUAAGCGUAGUAACUUCUCUCGCUAUGGAAACCGGGUGGUAUGCGUCAAAACCCCCAACUUUCUAAGGUUGACCUCGGAUCAGGUAGGGAUACCCGCUGAACUUAA
rnacentral:misc_RNA from 1 species